AUGGCAAGAAUGAUGCUUGAUGAGUACAAGACUCCAAAACACUUUUGGGCAGAAGCGGUUGAGAUAGCUUGUCAUGCAACAAAUCGCUUGUAUCUUCACAAGCUACUCGGCAAGACGGCAUACGAGCUCCUCAUCGGUAACAAACCCCAAGUUGGAUACUUUCGAGUAUUUGGCUCAAAGUGUUACAUUCUUGAUAAGCAUCGUCGUUCUAAAUUUGCUCCUAAAUCUCAUGAGGGUUUCCUACUUGGUUAUGGCUCAAACUCUCACACUUACCGUGUCUACAACAAUUUCACCCGAAAGGUUGAAGAGACGGUAGAUGUGAAGUUUGAUGAAUCUAAUGGCUCGCAAGUAGAGCAAUUGCCAAUUGAUGUAGGAGACAAAGACCCUUCAGAAGCAAUCCAAGACAUGUCUAUUGGCAAGAUUCGUCCAACGGAGGUGAAGGAGAGUACCUCGUCCGUCCAAGUGGAAGCUUCUACCUCACGACAAGGUGAACCAAGAGUUGACACGGAAGCAUCCACAAGUGGGACACAUCAAGAUGAACAAAAUGAGGAAGUACACCAAGAUGAACCUCAUCAACCUCCUUCUCCACCACGACAAGAGAAUGACAACAUCAACAAUGAAGAAGGCCAAGAAGAAGAACGAGAUGAUGAAGAAGAUGUUCCACCCCGACCCAAGCAAAAGCUCUCACGAGUUCGAGCAAGAGUCUCAAGAGACCACCCCGUCGAACAAAUCUUCAAUGAUAUCCAAACCGAGAGAAUCACUCGCUCUAAAACUCGUUUGGCUAAUUUUUUUGUACAUUAUUCAUUCAUCUCUAGCAUUGAACCUAUGAAGUUUGAAGAAGCAUUGGAAGAUCCGGGUUGGAUAAAUGCUAUGCAUGAAGAGCUACACAACUUUGAGAGAAAUCAAGUGUGGACAUUGGUCGAGAAGCCCGACAACAACCACAACAUCAUUGGUACCAAAUGGGUGUUUCGCAACAAGCAAGACGAAGAUGGUCAAGUCGUUCACAACAAAGCAUGUCUCGUCGCCCAAGGCUACACUCAAGUCGAAGGUAUGGACUACGGUGAGACAUAUGCCCCCGUUGCUAGACUUGAGUCCAUCCGCAUCUUACUUGCCUAUGCUAAUCACCAUGAUAUCACCUUGUACCAAAUGGACAUUAAAAGUGCUUUUCUAAAUGGUGAAAUUGAGGAGGAAGUUUAUGUUAAACAACCUCCCGGCUUUGUCAAUCCUAAGAAACCCGAUCAUGUUUACAAACUUCACAAAGCUCUUUAUGGUCUUAAACAAGCUCCUAGAGCAUGGUAUAAAUGCUUGACCAAGUUCCUUAUUGGGAAAGGCUUUGAGAUUGGGAAAAUUGAUUCUACUCUUUUUACAAAAAGAGUUAAUGGUGAAUUAUUUGUGUGCCAAAUUUAUGUUGAUGAUAUCAUAUUUGGUUCGACUAACCCUCAUUUUAGUGAAAAGUUUGGAAAGCUAAUGUCUAAGAAGUUUGAGAUGUCUAUGAUGAGUGAACUCAAGUUCUUUCUUGGCUUGCAAAUCAAGCAAACUAAGGAAGGCACCUUUGUUUCCCAAACAAAGUAA
rnacentral:rRNA from 1 species